UACGAACUGUGCGAACGUUAUUCGGAAUCACUGGGCUUACAGGGUGUGUAGGCGGCCUGUUAAGCAGGGUGUGAAAUCCUCCGGCUCAACCGGGGAAUGGCGCUCUGGACUGGCAGGCUUGAGUGCGCUAGGGGUGUGUGGAACUUCCAGUGGAGCGGUGAAAUGUGUUGAUAUUGGAAGGAACACCGGUGGCGAAAGCGACACACUGGGGCGUAACUGACGCUGAGACACGAAAGCCAGGGGAGCGAACGGG
rnacentral:misc_RNA from 1 species